rnacentral:rRNA from 1 species
UGGGGAAUAUUGCACAAUGGGGGAAACCCUGAUGCAGCGACGCCGCGUGAGCGAAGAAGGUUUUCGAAUCGUAAAGCUCUGUCCUAUGAGAAGAUAAUGACGGUAUCAUAGGAGGAAGCCCCGGCUAAAUACGUGCCAGCAGCCGCGGUAAUACGUAUGGGGCGAGCGUUGUCCGGAAUUAUUGGGCGUAAAGGGUACGUAGGCGGUCUAUUAAGUCAGGUGUGAAAGCGUGAGGCUUAACCUCAUUAAGCACUUGAAACUGAUAGACUUGAGUGAAGGAGAGGAAAGUGGAAUUCCUGGUGUAGCGGUGAAAUGCGUAGAUAUUAGGAGGAAUACCGGUGGCGAAGGCGACUUUCUGGACUUUUACUGACGCUCAGGUACGAAAGCGUGGGGAGCAAACAGG